CUCCUAUAUGAUUUUCAUUCAUUCAAAAUAGUAAAAGUUAUCGACUAGCCAAUCACAGUUAAAUUUUUUUAAAAAAAAUUUAAUCAAAAUUAGAUAAUAAUAUAGCUUUCGUCAUUUAUAAAUGAUGUUGUUACACCUCCGAUCCGAAAUUGUGAGUUGAGGGUCAUAGCAACCACCGCAUACUCAUAGGAAACUCUCUCCAUAAGUAUGCAAAGCAUCUUAUC
rnacentral:lncRNA from 1 species